AUUGAACGCUGGCGGCAGGACUAACACAUGCAAGUCGAACGCGUGGCGGACGGGUGAGUAAUGUCUGGGAAACUGCCUGAUGGAGGGGGAUAACUACUGGAAACGGUAGCUAAUCCCGCAUACCAUCGGAUGUGCCCAGAUGGGAUUAGCUAGUAGGUGGGGUAAAGGCUCACCUAGGCGACGAUCCCUAGCUGGUCUGAGAGGAUGACCAGCAAAACGGGAUCUGAGACGCGGUCCACACGCCUACGGGAGGCAGCAGUGUGGAAUAUUGCACAGUGGGCUCAUGCCUGAUGCAGCCAUGCCGCGUGUAUGAAGAAGGCCUUCGGGUUGUAAAGUACUUUCAGCGGGGCGGCGUUACCCGCAGAAGAAGCACCGGCUAACUCCGUGCCAGCAGCCGCGGUAAUAC
rnacentral:rRNA from 1 species